UGGAUUUGGAACGACAUGAGGGUGAGUAUUUUUAGAUGAACUAUCAUUUUAAGUCUAUGAUUUCUAAUGCAUAAACUAGACUUUUGUAUCUCUAUAUUUUUUCUUUCCUUGCUUUCUCUAGCCUGAAUGCUCGUCAUGCAAGGAAACAUAUUUAUCUGACAGUUCUCCACUCCAGUGUAACAGCUGAGAAAGACAGGCAAAGAGAGCUGGCUUAGUUGAGACUUAAGGGUGGGACCAGAGUCACAGCUCUCAUGAGCAUGGAAUCAAUUACAUACAGAUAAGCUCCAAGGCCGCAAACUUUUAAAGAAACGGACGCCAUCAGAGGAAUACUGUGACUUAAGUGCACUCUAAGUCCUCAUGGUGGCAUAGUGGCUUGCCUCAAUCCGGGUGGCGGAGGACGAAUCUCAGUUGCCUCUGCGUCUGAGACUGUCAAUCCGCACAUCUUAUUACGUGACUUGUUGAGCACAUUACCGUGGAGACCUAGCGCGUGUGGAGGCUUUACGCUAUUCUGCAAGGCAUCCACGCACAACUCACCAUGAUCCCCACCGAGAGCGAGAACCACAUUAUAGCGACCAUGAGGAGGUUAACGCAACAUGACUCUACCUACCCUAGCAACCGGGCCAAUUGGUUGCUUAGGAAGCCUGACUGGAGUCACUCAGCCUGCCCUGGAUUCGAACUUGCGUGUGGUAGUCAGCGUCUUUACUUGCUGAGCUACCCAGCCCCCCUCUAACCAAGUUUCUUGACUGAAACUCCUAGCUACAUAAUGGAAAUAAUGCUCUUACCCUGACCAUCCCAGACACCUGAUACAACACCAUGACGUGGCAAUGAGGAUGUUCAUGUACAAGAAGCUUGAGCAAAAUUCCAGCACUCCAGUUGUAAUGCUUAUUUCCAGUGUUUUUGUGUGUAAAAUGUACUCAAAUUUAAUGUUUUUUGUAGUUGCACACCUUUUAGCCAACAGACUUGCUUUAUAGUGUAACAAAAACAGACACUUUAAAACCUACUAACCUAAAAUUGCCUUGAUAGGCAUUUGAGAACUCAAAAGAUUUGUCAACUAAAUGACAAAAUAUUUUGUCAAAUGAGAUGAUUCAUCAUUUAUACUCAUAUUCAUGUUGUUCCAAACCCAAAUGACUGACUUUCAUCUGUGGGAGGAACUCAAAAGGAGAUGUCCAGAAUAAUGAUCGGGACUGACAGCCUUGCUUUCAUUUCAGCCUCAUUAGCAGCAUCUACAUUUUACAAUGUAUUCUCAUAUACCACAGAAGAAACUAAAUAGUACAGGUUUUUAAAAAAACAUGAAGGUGCAUUACAGAAUUACAGAAUUUUCAUUUUUAAGCAAGUCAACCCAAAGACGUUAUGGUUUAUUUCAAUUUUGUAUUGCACUUUCAUUUCAAGACAUGACGUUGUCUCUAUAUAGAAAUCUGACA